rnacentral:rRNA from 1 species
AACGAACGCUGGCGGCAUGCCUAACACAUGCAAGUCGAACGAGACCUUCGGGUCUAGUGGCGCACGGAUGCGUAACGCGUGGGAACCUGCCCUUAGGUUCGGAAUAACUCCCCGAAAGGGGUGCUAAUACCGGAUAAUGUCUUCGGACCAAAGAUUUAUCGCCUUUGGAUGGGCCCGCGUUGGAUUAGCUAGUUGGUAGGGUAAAAGCCUACCAAGGCGACGAUCCAUAGCUGGUCUGAGAGGAUGAUCAGCCACACUGGGACUGAGACACGGCCCAGACUCCUACGGGAGGCAGCAGUGGGGAAUAUUGGACAAUGGGCGAAAGCCUGAUCCAGCAAUGCCGCGUGAGUGAUGAAGGCCUUAGGGUUGUAAAGCUCAUUUACCCGGGAUGAUAAUGACAGUACCGGGAGAAUAAGCUCCGGCUAACUCCGUG